rnacentral:rRNA from 1 species
CCUACGGGAGGCAGCAGUGAGGAAUAUUGGUCAAUGGACGAGAGUCUGAACCAGCCAAGUAGCGUGAAGGAUGACUGCCCUAUGGGUUGUAAACUUCUUUUAUAUGGGAAUAAAACGUUCCACGUGUGGGAUUUUGUAUGUACCAUAUGAAUAAGGAUCGGCUAACUCCGUGCCAGCAGCCGCGGUAAUACGGAGGAUCCGAGCGUUAUCCGGAUUUAUUGGGUUUAAAGGGAGCGUAGGUGGAUUGUUAAGUCAGUUGUGAAAGUUUGCGGCUCAACCGUAAAAUUGCAGUUGAAACUGGCAGUCUUGAGUACAGUAGAGGUGGGCGGAAUGCGUGGUGUAGCGGUGAAAUGCUUAGAUAUCACGAAGAAUUCCGAUUGCGAAGGCAGUUCACUGGACUGCAACUGACACUGAGGCUCGAAAGUGUGGGUAUCAAACAGGAUUAGAUACCCCUGUAGUC